GGAUCCAGACUUUGAUUCUGGCUCAGGAUGAACGCUGGCGGCGUGCUUAACACAUGCAAGUCGAACGAAGCGAGAGGAGCUUGCUCCUUAAGCUUAGUGGCGGACGGGUGAGUAACGUGUGGGCAACCUGCCUUUUACAGGGGAAUAAUCACUGGAAACGGUGACUAAUACCGCAUACGAUCUUCGGAAGGCAUCUUCUGGAGAGGAAAGGAGCAAUCCGGUAGAAGAUGGGCCCGCAUCUGAUUAGCUAGUUGGUGAGAUAACAGCCCACCAAGGCAACGAUCAGUAGCCGACCUGAGAGGGUGAUCGGCCACAUUGGGACUGAGACACGGCCCAAACUCCUACGGGAGGCAGCAGUGGGGAAUAUUGCACAAUGGGGGAAACCCUGAUGCAGCAACGCCGCGUGGAGGAAGAAGGUUUUCGGAUCGUAAACUUCUAUCAAUAGGGACGAACAAAUGACGGUACCUAAAUAAGAAGCCCCGGCUAACUACGUGCCAGCAGCCGCGGUAAUACGUAGGGGGCAAGCGUUAUACGGAAUUACUGGGUGUAAAGGGAGCGUAGGCGGCAUGGUAAGUAAGAUGUGAAAGCCCGAGGCUUAACCUCGAGGAUUGCAUUUUAAACUAUCAAGCUAGAGUACAGGAGAGGAAAGCGGAAUUCCUAGUGUAGCGGUGAAAUGCGUAGAUAUUAGGAAGAACACCAGUGGCGAAGGCGGCUUUCUGGACUGAAACUGACGCUGAGGCUCGAAAGCGUGGGGAGCGAACAGGAUUAGAUACCCUGGUAGUCCACGCCGUAAACGAUGAGUGCUAGGUGUCGGGGAGGAAUCCUCGGUGCCGCAGUUAACACAAUAAGCACUCCACCUGGGGAGUACGACCGCAAGGUUGCAACUCAAAGGAAUUGACGG
rnacentral:rRNA from 1 species